CCUACGGGUGGCAGCAGUGGGGAAUAUUGCGCAAUGGGCGAAAGCCUGACGCAGCGACGCCGCGUGAGGGCUGAAGGUCUUCGGAUCGUAAACCUCUGUCAGCAGGGAAGAACGGUCACUGUGCUAAUCAGCAGUGAAUCGACGGUACCUGCAAAGGAAGCACCGGCUAACUCCGUGCCAGCAGCCGCGGCAAUACGGAGGGUGCGAGCGUUAAUCGGAAUUACUGGGCGUAAAGCGCUCGUAGGCGGUAUGUCAAGUCAAGGGUGAAAUCCCCGCGCUCAACGUGGGAACUGCCUUUGAAACUGGCAGACUGGAGUGUGUGAGAGGAUAGUGGAAUUCCAGGUGUAGGAGUGAAAGGCGUAGAUAUCUGGAGGAACAUCAGUGGCGAAGGCGACUAUCUGGCACAUAACUGACGCUGAGGAGCGAAAGCGUGGGUAGCAAACAGGAUUAGAUACCCUGGUAGUC
rnacentral:rRNA from 1 species